CAAUUGAUGGCACUAGAGGUUUUGUCAGAGGAAAUGAGGCCCUAUAUGUGGUAUGUUUUAUUUAUUUAUUUGUUGUGUUUUAUUUAAGAAGUUUUUAAAACUAAAAAGUUUGGUUUAGUUAUAUUUAAUUUUUUAUUGAAGCCCUUUUCUGUGUCUUUAGCAUUCCUUGGGAUUUCCUUUUGUCUUAAAGUCAGUAAUGAGGUGCUUUGGCCAUCUUAUUUUGAAGAGCAACUUUUGGCUAAAGCUCCAAAAAUGAUACUUCUGGCAAAAGAGGCUGCAACAACUUCGCAAUAAACUCCAAAUUAAUUAAUUCACUCAGAAGGAAUAGAUGUUCAUUUGCUAUGCAAUUACAUGCUUAUUAACGGAUUUGUAUGACUUGCCUCUAGGGUACAAGCACAGAUAAUUGUGAAUCCAUAAUCUGUAUCUUAACUGUAUAUCACUGUAUACCUUUCAUUAUGUUUAAAGUGAUGGCUGAUUUAGUUUAAAGUUUUCUUACAUUUCUUACAUAUGACCGGGUUGAAAAUAUCUGUUAUGCAAAGGACGAGUAGAGGUUAUUUUAUGCUAUAUUUAUAAUCCCUUGCAUCAGCAUGGGAAUAGAGUGGGAUAUGCAGUUGAUGGUUCAUCAUAGAUUGAUGUGAUGAUGAAAUGGGUUAUGUUUUCCAAGACCAUGAAUGCAAAAUGUAGUUUCAAAGCACGUUACUCUAUUUAAGAAUUAAGGUACUGCUUGUUGACAGGUAUUCUGAUAGAAAAAUAACAACAUAUAGAUAUCCGAUUAAAUGUUCUAUACACAUGAAAUGGACAUCAAUAAUUUUCUCAUCUGUGAUUUGGUUGUUUGUUUGUAUGUGUAAGGGUUCGUGUUGCUGUUCCUGUCACUUGGAACUUGGGGAUUAUUGUAAGUCCAACUAGAUAAUCAAGUAAGCUAAGUGAACAUCCUUUAUAAUAUCUAGCUGUAAAGAAUAAAAGUGCUUUGUUAAGAAUUGAUAGGUUGUAUAAAAAUUUGUGGUCCUGCAUAUCAUACAGAAAUUUGAUACCAAAAUCUACUUAGUAGUCUCCAAGAAACAUUUUUAAGUGGCAUGUAUAUGCCUUGGCAGAAGUAUUUUAGAGUACAUGGCUGAAAAUAAAUUUCUAUUGCACAGCAGAUCUAGUAUUUAUUUUUUGUGUUCUGAUCUAUUCCCUUUUUUUUUUUUCUCUGCUCGCUGAGCAAUUAGCAUAUAUGCUGAUUUUUUA
rnacentral:misc_RNA from 1 species